GCGGGCGUCGUAUAGAGGCCUAGUACCAGGCGCUUCCACCGCCUUGACGCCGGUUCAAAUCCGGCCGCCCGCU
rnacentral:tRNA from 1 species